rnacentral:rRNA from 1 species
GACGAACGCUGGCGGCGUGCUUAACACAUGCAAGUCGAACGGAAAGGCCCUGCUUUUGUGGGGUGCUCGAGUGGCGAACAGGUGAGUAACACGUGAGUAACCUGCCCUUGACUUUGGGAUAACUUCAUUAAACUGGGGCUAAUACCGGAUAUGAACUCCUUCUGCAUGGUGUGUGUUGUAAAGUUUCGGCGGUUCGGGAUGGACUCGCGGUUUAGCAGCGUGUUGGUGGGGUAGUGGAUUACCAAGGCUUUGACGGGUUGCCGGCCUGGGAGGGUGACCGGCCACAUUGGGACUGAGAUACGGGCCAGACUGCUACGGGAGGCAGCAGUGGGGAAUAUUGCACGAUGGGCGGAAGCAUGAUGCAGCAACGCCGCGUGGGGGAUGACGGCCGUCGGGUUGUAAACCGCUUUAGCCUGUGAAGAAGAGUGAGUGACGGUAAUGGGUAAAGAAGCACCGGCUAACUACGUG